rnacentral:tRNA from 1 species
GGGGGUUUAGCUCAGUUGGUAGAGCGUUCGCUUAGCAUUAUUGUGUCUGAUUUGCGAAAGGUCGCGUGUUCGACUCAUGUAGUCUUCA